ACACAUGCAAGUCGAGGGGCAGCAUUUUUCUAUCAAUAGAAGAGAUGGCGACCGGCGCACGGGUGAGUAACACGUAUCCAACCUACCGAUAACUCUGGAAUAGCCUUUCGAAAGAAAGAUUAAUACCGGAUAGUAUACGAAUAUCGCAUGAUAUUUUUAUUAAAGAAUUUCGGUUAUCGAUGGGGAUGCGUUCCAUUAGUUUGUUGGCGGGGUAACGGCCCACCAAGACUACGAUGGAUAGGGGUUCUGAGAGGAAGGUCCCCCACAUUGGAACUGAGACACGGUCCAAACUCCUACGGGAGGCAGCAGUGAGGAAUAUUGGUCAAUGGGCGCAGGCCUGAACCAGCCAAGUAGCGUGAAGGAUGAAGGCUCUAUGGGUCGUAAACUUCUUUUAUAUGGGAAUAAAGUUUUCCACGUGUGGAAUUUUGUAUGUACCAUAUGAAUAAGGAUCGGCUAACUCCGUGCCAGCAGCCGCGGUAAUACGGAGGAUCCGAGCGUUAUCCGGAUUUAUUGGGUUUAAAGGGAGCGUAGGUGGAUUGUUAAGUCAGUUGUGAAAGUUUGCGGCUCAACCGUAAAAUUGCAGUUGAAACUGGUAGUCUUGAGUACAGUAGAGGUGGGCGGAAUUCGUGGUGUAGCGGUGAAAUGCUUAGAUAUCACGAAGAACUCCGAUUGCGAAGGCAGCUCACUAGACUGUAACUGACACUGAUGCUCGAAAGUGUGGGUAUCAAACAGGAUUAGAUACCCUGGUAGUCCACACAGUAAACGAUGAAUACUCGCUGUUUGCGAUAUACAGUAAGCGGCCAAGCGAAAGCAUUAAGUAUUCCACCUGGGGAGUACGCCGGCAACGGUGAAACUCAAAGGAAUUGACGGGGGCCCGCACAAGCGGAGGAACAUGUGGUUUAAUUCGAUGAUACGCGAGGAACCUUACCCGGGCUUAAAUUGCAACAGAAUAUAUUGGAAACAGUAUAGCCGUAAGGCUGUUGUGAAGGUGCUGCAUGGUUGUCGUCAGCUCGUGCCGUGAGGUGUCGGCUUAAGUGCCAUAACGAGCGCAACCCUUAUCUUUAGUUACUAACAGGUCAUGCUGAGGACUCUAGAGAGACUGCCGUCGUAAGAUGUGAGGAAGGUGGGGAUGACGUCAAAUCAGCACGGCCCUUACGUCCGGGGCUACACACGUGUUACAAUGGGGGGUACAGAAGGCAGCUACACGGCGACGUGAUGCUAAUCCCAAAAACCUCUCUCAGUUCGGAUCGAAGUCUGCAACCCGACUUCGUGAAGCUGGAUUCGCUAGUAAUCGCGCAUCAGCCAUGGCGCGGUGAAUACGUUCCCGGGCCUUGUACACACCGCCCGUCAAGCCAUGAAAGCCGGGGGUACCUGAAGUACGUAAAGGCAAGGAGCGUCCUAGGGUAAAACUGGUAAUUGGG
rnacentral:rRNA from 1 species